rnacentral:lncRNA from 1 species
GGAGCAUAUAGGACAAUUGGCUGAUACUUACUUCCCCAUGGGCAGCAUUCCCUAGCACCCCAGGGGAUUGCUUCCUAUUGGGCCACCCCUAUGGGUAGUUUCUCAGUGAGCUCUGCAGCAUGGCAUCUUUCUGUGGGCAGCUUCACCUAGCAACCAAGGAAGUAGUUUCCCAGCUCACCAUCUCUGUGGGAGGCUUUGCAGUGAGUUCUGAGGUACAACACCUUGUUGAGGGCUUCCUUCAGCAUCCCAGAAGGCAGCUUCUCAGUAAGUUCUACCAGCAUGGCAUCUGCAUGAACUUCCACACAGGUGGAUGGUGUCCUUCCCAGUGAAAGUUUGGAUUUCAGCUCUGGAGGCCUCUUCUGUAUUUGAUGCAUGCCUAGGUGCUGUGCUUCAGUGCUAGAGAGAAUCCUGCAUUCUAAAGGAUCUAGUCUGGAUGCCAGGAGCUGUGUAUAGGAUGAGAGCCUGGUGGACCUGAUUGACCGCCUGUUGUUCAGUUCAGUUCAGAGACUGAAAAUCAGGAUUUGUGCUGGAGAGUCUUUGAACUGUGUGUGAAAGUAUCUGAAGGUCCAUGACAAUUUGAAAGAAGGCAUAUGAAAAAGGUGCAGGAAUCGAAGGCACGAGAUACACCUGAAAGUGGUGGAGCAAUGAAUCUGAACAGGAUGAUGGAUUGAAAGUGCUCAAAAGAGGCAGCUAGGAUCCUGUAUUCAUGUCCUACCACUGCAGCCAGGGAAAGAUCCUCCCACAUCUAUCAGAAGACUGGAGGAUUAUGUCUGGAGAGAUUGAAUUCUAGGGAUGCUCAGGCCCAAAUGAAGGUUUGAGCACACAAUGAAAUGAGUUGAUAUUGACUGUUGGGAACCAGAGUUCUCAGUGGAUGAAGAGACACAGAAAAAUAAAAUGAAGGAAGGCAAAGAAGAUCUCUGAAGAGAUGGAUUGGAAUUGGAAGCAUUAGUAUGAACCAUGAUUCUAAAAUAGUUAUAUAUUGAUGUCUAUGCUUGUAUAUAUCCAGAAGUUUAUGUAUGUAUGUUUAAAUGUGUGUGUAAUAUAUAUGUAUACAUAUAUGUACACAUGUAUAUAUUUCCUAGCUUUGUCUACUGAAAGGGUCCACAAGCAAAAUCUUGUAGCGGAUCUUGGUCUCUAAGAUUGUUCCCUGUUAAAAAAAAAACAGGAUCCGUUGGAGAAAUUGCUGAUUCCAGUGCUGUAGCAGAAAAGGUAAUACAUGAUCCUAAAAUCAGUAGUCUCAUUCUGUUAGAUUACUGUGGGGUUCAGUAUGGUAGCCACUAGUCUCUUGUGCUAUUUAUUUAUUUAUUUUUAUUAUUAUGCUUUAAGUUCUAGGGUACAUGUGUACAGCAUGCAGGUUUGUUGCAUAUGUAUACAUCUGCCAUGUUGGUGUGCUGCACCCAUUAACUGGCAAUUUACAUUAGGUAAAUCUCCUAAUGCUAUCCCUGCUCCCUCCCCCAACCCCAUGUCAGGCCCCAGUAUGUGAUGAUCCUCAUCCUGUGUCCAAGUGUUUUCAUUGUUCAGUUCCCACCUGUGAGUGAGAACAUGCAGUGUUUGGUUUUCUAUCCUUGCGAUAGUUUGCUCAGAAUGAUGGUUUCUAAUUUCAUCCAUGUCCCUACAAAGGACAUGAACUCAUCCUUUUUUAUGGCUGCAUAGUAUUCCACGGUGUAUAUGUGCCACAUUUUC